GUUCUUGAAGUCUGGUGAUGCUGCAGUCAUUGUCAUUCAUAUGGCUCCUGGCAAACCCAUGUGUGUUGACAGUAUCUCAGACUAUCCUCCUCUGAGUCAUUUUGCUCUUUAUGAUAUGAGAUAGACAUCAUAUCUUGAUUAUGUGUCAUCAAAGCAAGGGACAAGAAGGCUGUUGGAGCUGGCAAGGUCACCAAGUUUGACCAGAAAUCUCAGAAG
rnacentral:lncRNA from 1 species